rnacentral:rRNA from 1 species
CGCGUAGGCGGUUUGUUAAGUCGGAUGUGAAAGCCCCGGGCUCAACCUGGGAAUUGCAUUCGAUACUGGCAAGCUAGAGUAUGGUAGAGGGAAGUGGAAUUCCAGGUGUAGCGGUGAAAUGCGUAGAUAUCUGGAAGAACACCAGUGGCGAAGGCGACUUCCUGGACCAAUACUGACGCUGAGGUGCGAAAGCGUGGGGAGCGAACA